rnacentral:rRNA from 1 species
UACAGAGGUCUCAAGCGUUGUUCGGAGUUACUGGGCGUAAAGGGUGCGUAGGUGGUGAGGUAAGUCGGAUGUGAAAGCUCCGAGCUCAACUCGGAAAUGGCAUUGGAAACUACCUUGCUCGAGGGUUUGAGGGGGGACUGGAAUACUUGGUGUAGCAGUGAAAUGCGUAGAUAUCAAGUAGAACACCAGUGGCGAAGGCGAGUCCCUGGAAAACUCCUGACACUGAGGCACGAAAGCUAGGGGAGCAAACAGG